UCUCGCGCACUCACUCCCACUGGCAGCGUGGCCCCGCUUGUCAGCUGCUUCGUCGUCCUCCCGCCGUCCCUUCAUCACGGUCACCUCCGGCCAUCGCCUCCGUCCCCUCCUCCGUCUUCUCGCCGCACAGGGAAGUUUGACACCGCUCCGUCCUCCCCCCUUGACCAGCGUCCUCACCGGUACCGCCCCGCCGUGAUGUCCCCUCGGUGGCGCUGUGCGGCAUUUAUUGUAACACUCCAGGUUCCACAAACAACCCGGUAUGCUACUGUACUACACUUCCGACGUCCAUAUAUAAAAUUUCGGCAGCAUCCCCUUUGCAAGAUUGCAUAAAAGAGGGAGCAACAGAGUAUAAACAUAUAUCAUGACUAAAACAUACUAAGUAUUAUUACUCGGCUAGCAAGGAAAGAUAAACAUACGACCUGAACUGAAUUAACCAGUGCGCACGACCAUAUAAAAAAAAUAAACAAACUUCCUUUGACAAUAAGUUUCUAAUUAAAUCAUGGCUGCGCCUGGGCAGCGUUAUUGUGAGAGUGAAAGUGGACGUGCUGCUACUCCCCUCAUUCCCAACAUGUAUCAAGUACCUGCAUUGAGUAAUGCAAGAGUGAGAUGACACAUCUCAGCAAGUAAAAUAAUAUCAAACAGUUUAACCACAUAAGAACAUUGUUUUACCACCACUUAAUUCCACAACCUUCUUAUUACGAAGGUGCAGCACGUAUACAACGUACAACGCACCUAGUUACCACACCUCGCAGGUAGAAACCACAAUAGUAACAUAGUAAUGUCACACUUCAUAUAUUCCUCAUGAGUGCAAAUGUCUGCAAAUGCAAGGAUGACUUCUGCCUUCAUACCUCUAAGGAUAUGAAGCCGCAUCGUACCCCUCCUCGGGCAACGUACGAUGCUAAAAAUGUACCGGUACGGUCGGACCAUAAGAUCACGACAUAACUUCAAAAUGCAAGAUGGAUGAUGCGAUGUGCAUGUCAUGCCUACAACACUUCAUAUAACAUGAUUCAAAAAGACACUUCAACUUCAUCCAGAUGGGAAUCAACCCAUAUAUCAUUACCAAAUUAUGAUCAUCCACAAUAUUAGACAAUUGAGAAUUAAUACUUCCAAACAAAUAAACUUCAUCAUAGAAUUCAAUGAUUAACAUAAUUAAAACUUAUGCAUACUCAAUGACAGGGAAUAGGAUGCAAACCAAACGGUAGCAACCACCACUGUAUUUACUUGCCUUUACCGGAAGUUCGGGCAAAUCCCAUGUACGAUCCGGAAGCCCACCACCUGUUUUUGACACCCAACUUAGUACACCAAUUUCACAUAAUCAGGCUCAUAAGCGACGCCGCACCUACGCACAAACUCAAACCCCGCUGCGGGUUACAUCUCUCCCUACACCCACCAAACUGCAGCGGCGCUGCUUAAUAAUUUCAUAACUUUAAAAUUAUGACAGCAGUGGUAACAAACAAAAACUCUAGAGGCAUCUACAUAAAAUUCCCCACAAGUUUUGUAUACAAUUUAUAAUUAAAUUCCAAUAUCUAAUUAGCCCAAAACAGUCCACAAGAUGAACCCUGUAAUCUGUUUUUCUUUGUCUUUUGGACAGCGACAUACCCAGAUUCAAACAGCGAUAUCUUUUAAAAUAUAAUUCCAAAUCAAGCGCAUAAGUACUCAUUGGAAAGAUAAGACAAAUCUCUACAUGAUUACCGUACUGGUUAACACUAAUUACCCACGAAAAAUUCCCAGAAACUGCUAAUACCACUGCUGUUCACCCACCUGAAAAAUCUGUUUUUUUGGACAGCAACAUAACCGGAUUCAAACAACGAUAUCUCCUGAAUUAUAACUCCGAAUCGAGCGCAUAAGUACUUGUUGGAAAGAUAACAUAAAGCCCUACAUGAUUCUCAUACUAAUUAACACUAAUUACUCCCGAAAAAUCCCCAGAAACUGCUAAUACUGCUGCUGUUCAUCCCCCUGAAAAAUCUGUUUUUUUGGACAGCCACACCCGGAUUCAAACGGUGAUAACUUUCAAUUUAUAACUCCAAAUUGAGCGCAUAAAUACUCGUUGGAAAGGUAAGGUAAAGUUCUACAUGAUCCCCAAACUGAUUUCCCUUAAUUCCGCACGAAAAAACACAGAAACUGCUAGACUACUGCUGUUCACCCACCACCUAAAAUUCUGGACAGCCCCCCUCUACCCCAAUCGCAAACGCAACCUCUAAUCAAUUAAAUUGCAGCGCAAAUGAACAAGGGAUGAACACAAAAAUCACCUUGGAUUCUCCCCCUUUCCUUCCUCCCUUCUUCCCUCCACCAAAACGAUUGAAGACUCACACCACAACGACGAUGAUCCGAGCGGCAAGGAUUGGCACCUUGGGAGGAGGGGAUUGAGAGGGGGGGGCGGCUAGGGUUUGGUGGCUGCAAGAAUUGAGAGAGGAGGAGAUGGGCACGGGGGGCGGCGGCCAAGGGGGAAGAGAAGUGGGGGGGGGGCUGCACAUGGGGGGAGGGGGUUAGGAGGGAGGCGGCUAGGGUUUGGGAGGGUUAAUGGGCCGAAACUCCAAUUGCGGCCCAACUAACCCACGCGACAGCUUCCGACCGCAACGCAAGCGUCAAACCAAAUAAAUUCUACUGCCCUAGUUGUGAAUGUUUUCCACAAAAUCCCAAAUCCCCAAAACAACAACCGGAUGAGGAAAAAAACAAAAAGAACAACCCCCAACUUCUCUUCUUUGCAAACCGGGUAUCACACUCUACCCCUCUUAAAAAGAAUUCGACCUCGAAUUCUGACGCUUCUAUCGGAACAACAAAAGAAAGGUUAAUGAAUCAACAAAACUCACACAUAAAGAAAAGUUCGAGUACUUCUGUCGUAUCAGCUCCUCAAGCUCCUAGGAUUCUAAGAUACGCAGCAGACGACACUCUAGAGUCUGCUCUUGCUACACAGGAAUCGGCUCUAGCUCGAUUUGAUGGUCUGGAUUCCGCAAAUACUUCCUCAACAAAAAGACAUGGAAUACUUGGUGUACUCUGAUCACAGAUUCCGACAAUUACAUGUGCUAAGCCCAGCUGCCAACUCGGCCAAGAUAGCAGACGGUCCUAUAUACAUCGGACCAAGCUUUCCUGACACCAAAUCAAUCAUUGACAUAUGCAAGUACUUCAAGGAAUGUAUAUAUGAAUGCAAGGCAUAUAAUGUUCCUAUAGGCUAAACCAAACUUAGCCACACAAGAGCAACUUCAAGAGAGCAACUUAAUGCUUGCAUAUUUCUAGAUAGCAGCACAACGGUUAAUUGUUUUGCUCCUAACUCACAAAAAUAUGCAUCGAAAAUUAGUAAACUAGGACUUUAUGGAAAACUUAUAAAGUCCACUAUACCCUUGGUAUUAUCAUCACAACAAGAUUUGACACUUAGAAAGGUCAAACAGUGCUAAACGUAAAUUCUGUCCAGACUUGGACAUAAUUCAACUACUCAAUUCAAAAAUCCAUAAUUGGAGUCUCAAUCAUCCAAUUCAGGUGCUCCCAUACUUUUUAGAAAGCUAGUAGAAUUGUCUAUAAUUCAUUUAUAAACAUAUCAAGUUAAUUCAAUGCAUAUUAAGGUCAAAAGACACGAGAAAGACUCUGCUGUCCAAAUUUGGACAGAUUCAGAGAUCACACUUAAAACAGUUGUAACUUAACUUAUAGAUCUCCAAAAAAAAAUUAAUCCAAAAUUUGUUGUAACGAUUAAGAAAAGUACUACAACUUAUUUAUAAUUUAUAAUAAGUUAUUCGAAGUUUAAAUUGGGCAAACAAGGUCAGCUUCGAAAUCUGUAUAGAAUCUGCACAGAUUUCAAGACUGGACUUGAGAAAAUCAUAACUCCCAAACUACUAGACCUAUGGUCAUGAAAUUUUUACACAAGUAAGAUAAAUAAGUUGGCUACAACUUUUAUAUAUAACAUCUCUACAGAAAAGAUGGUUUACUUCACUGAACUAGCUGCAUAACUAAAACUGGUCAUGCAGUCCCAAUAGCAAGCAAUAGAUUUUAUCAGGUUCAUUACUCUUCUAAGAUUAAGCGUUCAUUGAAAGACUAAUAACUUUAGGUUCUUCAUUACGAGACACCUAGAACAAAUAUAAGUAUAGAAGCAAUAUGAUAACUUUUUAAAUCAUUUAAGCCUAAUCUCACAUCAUGCAAACAAGAAUCAAUUUAAGCAUGUUAUGUCUGCCCACAUAUUCAUCCAAGCACAUUCUAUACAUGAUAUCAUAACUCCCUGCAGCUAACAAAAUUUUGCAAAUAUAAACUCACUGAAAAGAUUAUAACAUUCCCUAGAACUUUUAUUAUAAUGAGUGUAUCGGAAUUGGUUUCCAAACCGAUAAAACAAUGCAACUCUUUUGUUUCAAAACUGAUAAGAUUGAAACAAUGGACAACUAAAAUUCAAAAACCUAUAACUCCUGCUAUACUCAACUUAAACUACAACGAACACGCGUUGGAAAAGUUUUGAAAAUUGUCCACGACUUUUGCAAUAAAGUUGCACCCAAAUUUAUCCUUAUAGCCCACAACUCUGCAUGACCUACAGCUAAACUCAGCCUGAGAUACUGCACAUUAGAGAUUCGACUUAUAUCCGGGCAACCACCUCUCCAAAUCUAUUUAACAGACAGUUACAAGUAAAUACCCAUUAAAAAGGUACUGAAAAUACCUACAAGUUUUGCUUAAAGAGAAUUCGCAAAUUUGUGCUCUGCAACUAUCAAAACGCGGUCGAUUUAUUGGUGAUUAUAACGACGCCUAAAGUUUAGACACAACAGUGCAACAACUUCAGAGCAACCUAACUCCAAUUAUAUGCAAUGAGAAUUAGAAACCCAUACUCUUUGAAAAGAUCAUGAAAUUACUAAAACUUUCAUAAUCCACAAAGACCAAAUUAUACCGUCUUCAAUGUCUACUCUUCCGUACAAAAUUAAAGACUCACUCUGCUAGAGACACCAACAAAGAUGUUUUAAGAAACCCAUAUCUCUCAAAUGUUUAGACCAAACAUGGUGAUUAAGCAUCCUAUGGAAAGAUGCAGAAACAUACUACAAAACAUUCUAGAUAAGUGAGCCUGAUUCAGCCUCCAACUAAUUUAAAAUGCCUCCCGAAACCAAACAACACAUUAUCAACAAUAAAAAAAACAAUAUAAAAUGAAACCCAAGUCAUUGGCAGGUGCCAUCAACACUAGGAUUUUCCACUACCAAACUGGGAUGCAACUCCACAAAGUCUUUAAAUAACACUCUACCAAAUAGGUUAGAACACUAAGCACAACAAUCAAUGAAUUCAACAACCUCGUUUGUUAAUGCCACUAAGGUCAAACAUCCAUGUACCAACAAUGUAUGAAACACCUGACAUACCCGUCUCCAGCUCUAUAAAACAUGGUUGUUAUUACACUAGAAUCCAACUACUAGAAAUCUCCAAAACUAUUCUGUUGACGUGAAGCAAAUGGUGCUCAUGUCAUAUAACAUCUUUUCCCCCUCUCAAAAGAGAUAAAAUUUGCAAUACUCAUAAAGCAAUGGAGGGAUAACAACAAGAAAAAACUAAUGUACUUCUUGACACAGACUCAUGCAAAAGCUUCAUAAAUAUUACUUUCAACACUAAAAUAAUAACACGAUACUAUGCUCAACAGGAGUAAUUGGACUUCAAUAAGAUAAUCCACCUAACCCAACUACUUUGAUUAACCUCACAUACAACAAUACCUCCUAUUAUUGCACUUGAACAAUUUGUACCUAGUGAUGUCAUAGGAUGAAUUCAAAGUAGUAGACAUACAUGAUCUAUCAAACCAUCAUUCAUAUAAUAAAAAUCUCCAUCUAAUGCAACAACCACAUCAUUAUAGAGAUAGAUGACUAACAAACAUAAGCAACUUCCAGUUAAACAUUGACUUUGUUUAAGAUAAAGCGGUCCAAAUAAUAAUUCCACAAGCAUGCAUAGAGAACUGAUCAUAUAAAAAAAACUACCAUGUAUCAUCGGCGAUUAAAACAAUAUAAAACGGGUUGUCCAUAUCGUCCGCAUGACUAGCCUCCAACAAAUAGAAAUUAUGCAUAACCUUUUUGGCUAUAGAAACAAACCAUAGAAGGAAAACAUGCAUGCCUCUUCAACUAUAAUAUAGACAUAAAAUCCACUUGAAAUCACCCUAUUUAUUAUUAAAGAUAAGGUUGCACACAAUAAGAAAACCUAUCGUGUAAACAUGGUUGGACUUAUCUACCCACGUCAUCUUGCAAAUUCACUUGAGUUCUUCUAGUCUCAAGAUUUCAUAGACAGUACAACAUUGCCUUUGCUCUAUGGAGACAAACCUAUUGUACUCUAAGAUCAAGUUGGCAAGUAGCCACACUAGCCAAAAAAAAGGUGAGGUGUAAAGCACUGCACCCAUGGAAAUAUUACAUUGAUAAGUUGGGUUGUAACCCAACAGUCAAUCCAACUCAACAACACCAUAAAACUUCAUUGUAUAGUGUUUUCACACUACACCAAGUCGGAUUAGAUCCUCUAUACACAAGCUCAAUAAACAAUCGGUCCUACAAGUACUAGAACCCAAGAAUCCUUUUGGGGAAAAAAACAUCCACAGUCAAGUAUAUAGAAAUAUAUGAUGGUAAUAGCUCAGAGAUUAGUAAACAUUGCAUCCCAAAAAACUUCAAGACGAUAUGUAUAUAAAACAAGUACAUUAGUAGCUUCACUCGCAUAAUAAUUUCAAUAACAAUCACAUCAAGAAACCAAUAUUAAAUAGAAGUAACAUUUCAUAUCAAGCAUUACGUCGUUAACGACAUACCUAAUCAAACCAUAAAGGGGUUUGGAGUAAGGAAAUUCUAGUCAUCUAUACAAUAAAAUACUAAUAUGAAAGAUAUAUGAACCCAUACCCUUCCUAUAUGUGCAAGUGUGUCAAAUUUAUCUUCAAAUUGCGUAGAAUCUAAAGCCUAUCCUCUGAUACCAACUGUAACACUCCAGGUUCCACAAACAACCCGGUAUGCUACUGUACUACACUUCCGACGUCCAUAUAUAAAAUUUCGGCAGCAUCCCCUUUGCAAGAUUGCAUAAAAGAGGGAGCAACAGAGUAUAAACAUAUAUCAUGACUAAAACAUACUAAGUAUUAUUACUCGGCUAGCAAGGAAAGAUAAACAUACGACCUGAACUGAAUUAACCAGUGCGCACGACCAUAUAAAAAAAAUAAACAAACUUCCUUUGACAAUAAGUUUCUAAUUAAAUCAUGGCUGCGCCUGGGCAGCGUUAUUGUGAGAGUGAAAGUGGACGUGCUGCUACUCCCCUCAUUCCCAACAUGUAUCAAGUACCUGCAUUGAGUAAUGCAAGAGUGAGAUGACACAUCUCAGCAAGUAAAAUAAUACCAAACAGUUUAACCACAUAAGAACAUUGUUUUACCACCACUUAAUUCCACAACCUUCUUAUUACGAAGGUGCAGCACGUAUACAACGUACAACGCACCUAGUUACCACACCUCGCAGGUAGAAACCACAAUAGUAACAUAGUAAUGUCACACUUCAUAUAUUCCUCAUGAGUGCAAAUGUCUGCAAAUGCAAGGAUGACUUCUGCCUUCAUACCUCUAAGGAUAUGAAGCCGCAUCGUACCCCUCCUCGGGCAACGUACGAUGCUAAAAAUGUACCGGUACGGUCGGACCAUAAGAUCACGACAUAACUUCAAAAUGCAAGAUGGAUGAUGCGAUGUGCAUGUCAUGCCUACAACACUUCAUAUAACAUGAUUCAAAAAGACACUUCAACUUCAUCCAGAUGGGAAUCAACCCCAUAUAUCAUUACCAAAUUAUGAUCAUCCACAAUAUUAGACAAUUGAGAAUUAAUACUUCCAAACAAAUAAACUUCAUCAUAGAAUUCAAUGAUUAACAUAAUUAAAACUUAUGCAUACUCAAUGACAGGGAAUAGGAUGCAAACCAAACGGUAGCAACCACCACUGUAUUUACUUGCCUUUACCGGAAGUUCGGGCAAAUCCCAUGUACGAUCCGGAAGCCCACCACCUGUUUUUGACACCCAACUUAGUACACCAAUUUCACAUAAUCAGGCUCAUAAGCGACGCCGCACCUACGCACAAACUCAAACCCCGCCGCGGGUUACAUCUCUCCCUACACCCACCAAACGGCAGCGGCGCUGCUUAAUAAUGUCAUAACUUUAAAAUUAUGACAGCAGUGGUAACAAACAAAAACUCUAGAGGCAUCUACAUAAAAUUCCCCACAAGUUUUGUAUACAAUUUAUAAUUAAAUUCCAAUAUCUAAUUAGCCCAAAACAGUCCACAAGAUGAACCCUGUAAUCUGUUUUUCUUUGUCUUUUGGACAGCGACAUACCCAGAUUCAAACAGCGAUAUCUUUUAAAAUAUAAUUCCAAAUCAAGCGCAUAAGUACUCAUUGGAAAGAUAAGACAAAUCCCUACAUGAUUACCAUACUGGUUAACACUAAUUACCCAUGAAAAAUUCCGAGAAACUGCUAAUACCACUGCUGUUCACCCACCUGAAAAAUCUGUUUUUUUGGACAGCAACAUAACCGGAUUCAAACAACGAUAUCUCCUGAAUUAUAACUCCGAAUCGAGCGCAUAAGUACUUGUUGGAAAGAUAACAUAAAGCCCUACAUGAUUCUCAUACUAAUUAACACUAAUUACUCCCGAAAAAUCCCCAGAAACUGCUAAUACUGCUGCUGUUCAUCCCCCUGAAAAAUCUGUUUUUUUGGACAGCCACACCCGGAUUCAAACGGUGAUAACUUUCAAUUUAUAACUCCAAAUUGAGCGCAUAAAUACUCGUUGGAAAGGUAAGGUAAAGUUCUACAUGAUCCUCAAACUGAUUUCCCUUAAUUCCUCACAAAAAACACAGAAACUGCUAGACUACUGCUGUUCACCCACCACCUAAAAUUCUGGACAGCCCCCCCUCUACCCCAAUCGCAAACGCAACCUCUAAUCAAUUAAAUUGCAGCGCAAAUGAACAAGGGAUGAACACAAAAAUCACCUUGGAUUCUCCCCCUUUCCUUCCUCCCUUCUUCCCUCCACCAAAACGAUUGAAGACUCGCACCACAACGACGAUGAUCCGAGCGGCAAGGAUUGGCACCUUGGGAGGAGGGGAUUGAGAGGGGGGCGGCUAGGUUUUGGUGGCUGCAAGAAUUGAGAGAGGAGGAGAUGGGCAGGGGGGCGGCGGCCAAGGGGGAAG
rnacentral:lncRNA from 1 species